GAAAAGAGAAAGAAGAAGAAGAAGAAGAGAGGAGAAGAAGAGAAGGGAAGAGAGAGAAAUUGCUUAGAGAUCGAUUUUCUUGGGAGAUUGCUUGAGGAUUCAGCAAAAAGGAAUCCCAGAUAUCCGUGAGAGAGAUUCCUCGGCACCAAGAGAGAUUGUGGGCCCUGAUAUUCACUAUGAUGAUGCAGCUAUGGUCAUGCCUAUGGCUUGUGACUCUCUUUCUUCCAGACCCAAGUACGGAGUGAGCAACCAGUGGAUGUCGGAAGCAGGAAACAUGACAAGGAUUGUGCCUGUAAUGUCUGUGCAUACGCGGCACCAUGAGAUGUUUGGCGUGUUUUGAUAUUCAAAUACAGAUUUGUGGAUGGUAUACUUUGAACUUAAUAUUUAUAACUCUCAAAUGUUUGUAAAUAGAUAAAUUGGUUAUGGAUAUUUACAGCAUCACUCGAUGUUCCCCAUUCUACUUAUGAUUCCGCUAU